rnacentral:rRNA from 1 species
UUGCAAAAUGGGCGAAAGCCCGAUGCAGCAACGCCGCGUGGGCGAUGAAGGCCUUCGGGUCGUAAAGCCCUUUUUGAGGGGAUGAGGAAGGACAGUACCCUCAGAAUAAGCCUCGGCUAAAUACGUGCCAGCAGCCGCGGUAAAACUUAGGAGGCGAGCGUUAUCCGGAUUUACUGGGCGUAAAGCGCGUGCAGGAGGAUUGGAGAGUUGGAUGUGAAAGCUCCCGGCUUAACUGGGAGAGGUCGUUCAAUACUUCCAGUCUUGAGUGCAGUAGAGGGAAGUGGAAUUCCGGGUGUAGUGGUGAAAUGCGUAGAUAUCCGUAGGAACACCAGUGGCGAAAGCGGCUCUCUGGCCUGUAACUGACGCUGAGGCGCGAAAGCGUGGG